rnacentral:rRNA from 1 species
UGGGGAAUAUUGCACAAUGGGCGCAAGCCUGAUGCAGCCAUGCCGCGUGUAUGAAGAAGGCCUUCGGGUUGUAAAGUACUUUCAGCGGGGAGGAAGGGAGUAAAGUUAAUACCUUUGCUCAUUGACGUUACCCGCAGAAGAAGCACCGGCUAACUCCGUGCCAGCAGCCGCGGUAAUACGGAGGGUGCAAGCGUUAAUCGGAAUUACUGGGCGUAAAGCGCACGCAGGCGGUUUGUUAAGUCAGAUGUGAAAUCCCCGGGCUCAACCUGGGAACUGCAUCUAAUACUGGCAAGCUUGAGUCUCGUAGAGGGGGGUAGAAUUCCAGGUGUAGCGGUGAAAUGCGUAGAUAUAUGGAGGAACACCAGUGGCGAAGGCGGCUCUCUGGUCUGUAACUGACGCUGAGGCUCGAAAGCGUGGGGAGCAAACAGG